GCGCAGCAGGCGCGAAAACUUUACAAUGCGGGAAACCGUGAUAAGGGGACACCGAGUGCCAGCAUCCUAUGCUGGCUGUCCGGGUGUGUAAAAUACACCUGUUAGCAAGGGCCGGGCAAGACCGGUGCCAGCCGCCGCGGUAACACCGGCGGCCCGAGUGGUGAUCGUGAUUAUUGGGUCUAAAGGGUCCGUAGCCGGUUUGGUCAGUCCUCCGGGAAAUCUGACAGCUUAACUGUUAGGCUUUCGGAGGAUACUGCCAGACUUGGAACCGGGAGAGGUAAGAGGUACUACAGGGGUAGGAGUGAAAUCUUGUAAUCCCUGUGGGACCACCUGUGGCGAAGGCGUCUUACCAGAACGGGUUCGACGGUGAGGGACGAAAGCUGGGGGCACGAACCGGAUUAGAUACCCGGGUAGUCCCAGCCGUAAACGAUGCUCGCUAGGUGUCAGGCAUGGCGCGACCGUGUCUGGUGCCGCAGGGAAGCCGUGAAGCGAGCCACCUGGGAAGUACGGCCGCAAGGCUGAAACUUAAAGGAAUUGGCGGGGGAGCAC
rnacentral:rRNA from 1 species